rnacentral:rRNA from 1 species
GAUGAACGCUGGCGGCGUGCCUAAUACAUGCAAGUCGAGCGAACGGACGAGAAGCUUGCUUCUCUGAUGUUAGCGGCGGACGGGUGAGUAACGCGUGGAUAACCUACCUAUAAGACUGGGAUAACUUCGGGAAACCGGAGCUAAUACCGGAUAAUAUUUUGAACCGCAUGGUUCAAAAGCGAAAGACGGUCUUGCUGUCACUUAUAGAUGGAUCCGCGCUGCAUUAGCUAGUUGGUAAGGUAACGGCUUACCAAGGCAACGAUGCAUAGCCGACCUGAGAGGGUGAUCGGCCACACUGGAACUGAGACACGGUCCAGACUCCUACGGGAGGCAGCAGUAGGGAAUCUUCCGCAAUGGGCGAAAGCCUGACGGAGCAACGCCGCGUGAGUGAUGAAGGUCUUCGGAUCGUAAAACUCUGUUAUUAGGGAAGAACAUAUGUGUAAGUAACUGUGCACAUCUUGACGGUACCUAAUCAGAAAGCCACGGCUAACUACGUG